rnacentral:rRNA from 1 species
UACGGGGGGGGCAAGCGUUGUUCGGAAUUACUGGGCGUAAAGGGUUCGUAGGUGGCCAACUCAGUCAGACGUGAAAUCCCUCAGCUCAACUGGGGAACUGCGUCUGAUACUGGUUGGCUCGAGUGCAGGAGAGGAACGCGGAAUUCCAGGUGUAGCGGUGAAAUGCGUAGAUAUCGGGAGGAACACCUGUGGCGAAGGCGGCCACCUGGUUGGAUACUGACGCUGAGACGCGAAAGCGUGGGGAGCAAACAGG